rnacentral:piRNA from 1 species
UCAGAGAAACAGUUUGUGGUGUUUGAGGG